rnacentral:rRNA from 1 species
CACGUAGGCGGAUAUUUGAGUCAGGGGGUGAAAUCCCAGAGCUCAACUCUGGAACUGCCUUUGAUACUGGGUAUCUUGAGUAUGGAAGAGGUAAGUGGAAUUCCGAGUGUAGAGGUGAAAUUCGUAGAUAUUCGGAGGAACACCAGUGGCGAAGGCGGCUUACUGGUCCAUUACUGACGCUGAGGUGCGAAAGCGUGGGGAGCAAACA